GUUAUAUACACUCCCGCUUAGCGAUCUACAAGGGUAUGUGGUUCCGAUCUCUCCUCUCGUAGAUUGUCAUCACCAUAGAUAGAUCUUAUGUGUUCGUAGGAAUUUUUUGUUUACCAUGCAACGUUCCCCAACAGUUUAUACUUGGGCAUGUACCGCCCCAACCAAAACCCAGGGGUUAUUCCUCUCAGGUUGGGGCACGGUACUUGCUACUUGUGAGUUGCGUUUGGUUUUUCCACGAAUAGGAAGGGUGAAGCAAUAUAGUAGCUGAUAAGUAUUUCCCUCAGUAGGAACGAAGGUUAUCGAACCAAUAGGAGAACCACAUAAAUUCCCGUCUUCAGCAACUACACACACAAAAGCAAACACUUGCACCCAACGCGGGCAGGAGGGUUGUCAAUCCCCUUGAACUCGUUACUUCCAAGAAUUAAUUAUGACAGUGAUAGAUAUAAUAAAAGAAAAGUAAAAAACAAAUUAAUAAAAUUACAACAAUGUAUUUUUGUUUUUAGCAAUACUAUUAAGUAGACUUGGGGGCCAUAGUUUUCACUACAGGAUUCUCUCGAACACAUAGCAUACGAUGGUAGACAAAUUACUGUUGGGUAAUUGACACAAAGCGCAUAGUUAUGAUGUUAUUCACGACAAUGAUCAUGUAUAUAUGCAUCAGUUCCAAAACAAGUAGGCCAAAACGAUUCUGCAUCUACUACUAUUACUUCACUUCGAGAGCGCUUCUAUGCUUGCCUCUCUAGGUAUCAAGUUCAUGAAAAAUAGAGUAAUAUUUUAGGCAAGAUGAAAUGAUGUAGACAAAGUACACCCAAUCAAUAUGAAUAAACCCCAUUGUUUAUCCUUAAUGUUAACAAUACAAAUACAUGUCUUGUCCCCUUCAUUCACUCGGAUAUGGAGCAC
rnacentral:lncRNA from 1 species